CAAACACCGUGGACAAUCUCCGCUCAGGGACCACCCUCCAUAUCCCGCUUGAAAAUGGUCCUUUUUUUGCACUUUACGACAGUAGGACAUUAACAUAGAGAUACCCGGGCCCUAUAAACACCAUAGGUAUUUUCUCCUCUUCCCCGUCCACAGCCAGAGACGAGCCGUCGUCAGACCUCCUGCUUCGGCGGUGGCUAGCGAGAAGAAGCUUGACUAGUAUAGUCAACACCUUGCAAUCUUCAGCAAUACACCAGGGCCUCCUGAAGUCCACCCUGGGCCUCCUAAGAUGGCUGUGAAGACCUGCCAAGCAGCCUAGCAGGAGCUUGGUUAAAUGCAGCUUGGAUCUCUGGGGUCUCUAUUACUUGUUUAUUGUCUUCAGUGAUGCAAAAUAAAAGUUGUAGUAGUAAUGUCAAUUUUAUUUUGUUGUCUUUGACAUAUGAACAAAUUGUGUAAAGAAAAAAAUCAAGUUGAUAUAAAAAAAAAAAUGCUUAUCAAAUAAAAGUGAUGUGAUUUCCCUACUAAUUUCCUCAGUAGUGAAAGUAGAAAGACAUCGUAGCUCAAACAGCUACAAUAUGCACAUAAAGGUACCAUCCCUUCCCUACAGCAAGGAGGGUCAGUUUCCCAAGUACCACCCUCCUCAGCCACAGGGGAAGAGACAGGAACUCUAAGAGCAAAUUUUACCUUAAACUGAGCAUAUUUUAGUAGUCUUUCCUCUUUCACUACUGGGAAAAUGGAUAACUAAAUCACAUCACUUUUAUUUGUUACGCCUUUCUUUCUUUCUUUCUCUUUUUAUUUUAUUUUAUUUAUUUAUUUAUUUAUUUUUAUUUUAUUUUAUUUAUUUAUUUAUUUUUAUUUAUUUUUUUUUUACAUUUUUACACAAUGGUUGGUGGAGUUAAGUGAGGGAUAUAUGUCAAUCAAUGAGAAUGUAUUUCAAGUAUUCAUUUGGUAUCUAUUUCCUUACUUGUACAGUACAUUUAAGGGGAAAUGAAUGCUUUGAGUGAUGUGCUGCAGAUCUACAUGGAAAGAGCUCGAAUAGAUGACAGUUGUUAGUUUUGAAAGAGAGAGAGAGAGAGAGAGAGAGAGAGAGAGAGAGAGAGAGAGAGAGAGAGAGAGAGAGAGAGAGAGAGAGAGAGAGAGAGAGAGAGAGAGAGAGAGAGAGAAAUAACUUGUUUUAUACUAGUUAUCAACAUUCAAGUUGCAAACCUACUUACUCGAGAGAGAGAGAGAGAGAGAGAGAGAGAGAGAGAGAGAGAGAGAGAGAGAGAGAGAGAGAGAGAGAGAGAGAGAGAGAGAGAGAGAGA